rnacentral:rRNA from 1 species
GACGAACGCUGGCGGCGUGCUUAACACAUGCAAGUCGAACGGAAAGGCCCUGCUUUUGUGGGGUGCUCGAGUGGCGAACGGGUGAGUAACACGUGAGUAACCUGCCCUUGACUUUGGGAUAACUUCAGGAAACUGGGGCUCAUACCGGAUAGGAGCUCCUGCUGCAUGGUGGGGGUUGGAAAGUUUCGGCGGUUGGGGAUGGACUCGCGGCUUAUCAGCUCGUUGGUGGGGUAGUGGCUUACCAAGGCAUUGAAGGGUAGCCGGCCUGACAGGGUGACCGGCCACAUUGGGACUGGAAUACGGCCCAGACGCCUACGGGAGGCAACAGUGGAGAAUAUUGCACAAUGGGCGGAAGCCUGAUGCAGCAACGCCGCGUGCGGGAUGACGGCCUGCGGGUUGUAACCCGCUUUCGCCUGUGACGAAGCGUGAGUGACGGUAAUGGAUAAAGAAGCACCGGCUAACUACGUG